AACCUCAAUUCUGUCUUUUCAGAUUGUGAGCCCUAUUUCUAUAGAGGAUGCUGAUAGGCCUUUACAAGCUGAUCAACAUGAUAGCAUAUCUAUCUGUAAUGGAGGCAAGACUACACAGCCGAUUUGUACGUAUACUACAAGACAUUGAUUGAAUACUUUGUCCUGAAGUAUAAGCAAGAGGAAAGGAGGUCUUUUUUGCUUUAAAUUGUGAUUAAAAGUGAGUGAGGAAUGACUGAGGAAUAGGGGAGGUUGAAGGCUUUGUUUUCUUACCAUGUAAAAUCUGAAGCUCAAAAAUAUUCUUUUUCUCUUUUCUAUUUUUCAGGGUUAUUUUUAGAGUAAGCAAUAACCCUGUGGUGAUACGAGUGUUUUUUUGUGAUGAAGUGCUGAGACAUUUGGGGUUUGACCAGAAAUUCAGUCUAGGCUUCAGAACCUAUUGUGAAAAUCUGUUGUUGAGUUGCGGUUGGUUUUGAUAUGAACAUUUUCCAUAAAGGAAUGUAACAGUCCACUUUUAUUUUGACCCCUCUUCAUUUUCCUUAUGACCUCUCACUCUUACCAAGAUGGAUGCUCAGACACUGACUUCUACAGGUCAAGAGGAAACCACAAAAACUGUCCCUAUGCUAUUUGUUUAACCACUUCAGAGAUUUAGAAGAGAAUACGUCCAUUCGUACAAGUCAUGCUGGCUCUUUCAAAUCAGAUUGCAUUUAUCCAGGAAUUAGGUAAUGCUGUUCUUGCAUUCCUUUAUUUGGGUUUCUGCUAAUUUGCCUAGUGCAGGUGUACCAUACUUUACCCUAGAGUUCCCAAGGUCUUUCUCGAAAACAAGUGUGGUUUUCACACCUGAGGUACGAAAACAGUUUUAAACAGGCACUUGGCCACUUAUAGGUGUUGAUAACUCACCUAUAUCAUCCUUGAUUUCUCCUAGAACUUCUCAGGGAAUUAUGGGGAUGCGUUAAGAGUUUGUUCAGUAACUUCUACAGUCACUUAAAGUUUAAGACAUCUCCUGCUCCUUAUUCUCCACUAACGAGUUCCAGCACAGAAAUCUCCCCAGCUUCUUCCACAGCAAAUACUUACAAAAGGAAUCCAUUUAACUUCUUUGCAGUGGCUUGGCCAGGGCUUUCCCUCCUAGAGAUGUCUGAUCUUUAUUUUUAAAGUGUGUUGAGUACUUUGACUCUUUGGAGGAAUAGAAGUCACAAAUGUCAGGAAGAUCAAACAAAAAGGAUAGACAGGAAGAGCUGCAGGUGUCUUUAAUGUACUGAAUACCCUGAGGACUCAAGUACAGUGUGGUAUCAAAUAAACCUUACAUCAUAUGAAUCAAAAUGGGUAUGGACUCAGAACAGCAUUCUCGCUACUCUCUGGGUAUGUGCCUGUGGGUAAAUUUUUACCUGUCAUGUCAAAAUUUGGUGGCUCUCUCGUGGACAUAUGCCUGGGUGGUAAUCAGAAUAGUUGUAAUUUCAUAGACUACUCCACCUCGUGACUUUUUUUUUCAUGUGUGUACACUUGUGUGGAUCCAAAGACUAUAAUUUAUCAGUCUUGAGUGUACGGACAGUUUUAUUGUUUAUACCAACGGAAACAACAUGGCAUCUGUAGCUCUACAAUCAUCUAUAAUUAUUGCCGCAGCAUGUCUCUUCUAUUGUAGAUUGAAAUGCUUGCAAGAAAUUAGUGAAAAAUACACAUUUUUAAGUUUUCAGGUCCAUUUUCUUUAAUCAUCACCUCUACGGAUCUCUUCCACACAGUUUUUUCCAUUCCUGCUGCUUUUAUCUUGGUAGCAUUAUCUGUUUUUGCUUAUUGUUAGUCGUAUGACGGCAACCCGCUGGUUUUUCAAUGGCUUCCAACAGCAUUUAUUAUCUAGCACUGUUCUUCAAUCAGUAGAUCUCAGAAGCACAGUGCACUCAGGGGUACUCAGAUAAUGGGUUACAAUCAACGACAUUACAGAGAUGUGCUCUCCUUUCUUUCUGUAGUACUGAUUUGUGCAUUUGGCAGAGAGUCAUAAUACCAACAUUUGAAGUUGAAAUAGGGCUUUCUCUCUAAGGGUCCACAAAUGAUUUUCAAAGCACUGACGGAUUUGCUCUUUCAGAUGUGCUGGAGAGUUCAGUGUCUCCCAUUUACACUGGGAUUAAUGAUUCCCAUUUUGCAGGCAUGGAACUAAGAUUUCACCUUGUUUUAACAAAUCCGUAAUUGGAAAACAGGUUCUUUAUUUUCUAAGCGUUUCCCAAGAUUCUCUUGAUGGAGGACACACAGGACAGCUGUGGAGCUGGUAGAUUUCCCUGGAGCUGUUUGGAGGCAGAGGUGAAUUCUAUGUGAUGAGAGUGACAGAGUAACUUACUGUCUUUUCAGCUCAUCACAGCUGAAGAAUAAAAAGUCUUCUCCCGCAUCACAAAUCAGUGUAGAAAAGGUGGGUUGGCACACUGACCAGAAGGUAACAGGGUGCACCUUAGUGGGACUGUCUAUCUGAGAAGCACAAAAAGAAGAUGGAAGGCAAGCUGAGAGAUGGAGAAGCCAUGGUGACACAUGUAUGAGAAAUCAUGUUAACAGCAGUGCUGAUUACUGAGAAGCAGGAAAAGCAAUGACAUGUUGUCCUAUUGUCUGACUACCAAACGGUCCUAUUUGUCAGAAAUAUUUAGAUAGUCCUCCUCUACCCCACAGUAGAUUGAAUGUAGCCAGUGUCAACUGGAGAGGUACAGGGUCAAAAGAAUGGCACCUACAGCCAACUGUAAAGGAGGGCAAGGAAGAAGAUGCUGCUUCAGUUAACUCCCUGUUUGCCAGGAGCAAGAAAAAUAGUUUAAAGACUAUUAGGCAGAAGAAGUAAUAUUAAAAAUAAUGCAGGGGGUCUGUUCCACCUUAGAUAUUGGCAAUAUUCUAGCACAGCUCAGGGAAAUUUACCUAAAUACCAAGUGUUCUGCCACUAGUUAACAAAAAAAAGUAACAAAAAAACUUAAUUGAAGUAAUUUUCUGUACCUUCAUAAAAGUUAAUAGUGUACUGAGAAGCUUUCAGGCUACAAGUGUAUUUUAUAUGAAAAUUUUGCUUGGAAAAAUUAGACCUAUUUUAAAAUGCUUACAGAAGGUGAUACUAUUACCUUGUUGCUGGUUUGUUGUCUCAGUGAAUAUGGAAUACUCUUGGUUUAUAAAUUCAUCGUUCAUGCUGAAGUGAAGAGGAAGAACUCUUUCCCUGACUUCAUCGGCCAUUUUAUGCAAGUAACUGAGGAGAAUGCUGAGAUGGAUGUUCAGUUUGGUUCGUUCUGGUAACUUGUUCCAUUUGGAGGUCUGCUCUUUUUAAUUGAUGAAUCAUUAUUCUUUUUUCUCUGCCAAAAAAACAUUCUUCAUUUAACCCCUCAUCCUCUCCCAAUGCCUUGUGGCUUUUCUCUCUAGUACCACUGUAUCUGGUGGUCACUUAGGUACAGUCUCUGGACAGCUGUAGUUCUUACUUUAAAUAUUGUUGUCAGUGUUUGUGAUUUUUAUAAGAAAUGACAGAAACUAAAUGGGAAAAAUUUUCAGGGAGCUGUAUAACCAAUGUCUCUCAUCUGGGUCAGUGUCAGAAACAUCUGCAUUUCUUAAACAUGUCAAAAUAACUUGUCCAUAAAACCCUCCAGCUGACAUUUCAGUAUUUUCACGAGGGUUUAACUCCCUGGAUUACUAUGUGGUGUGCUGAGACUUUCUUAAUAUCUAACCUAAAUUUCCUUUACUGCAAAUCCACUGAAUUAUUCUUCUACUCUUCAAUGACAUUUGAUCACUAUCUUUUUUUUACAUACACUGUACACUACUUCUAGGAGGAUCUGCUCCAUGAUCUUCCCAGGCACAGAGGUGAGGCUCACUGGCCUGUAGUUCCCCAGUCUUCCUUUCUCCCUUUCUUAAAAAUGGGAGUACUGUUUCCCUUUUUCCAGUCACCGGGGACUUCACCAGACAGUUAUGAUUUUUCAAAUAUGAUUGAGAGCAGCUCGGCAACCACAUCAGCCAUCUCUUUCAGAACCCUGGGAUGGAUAUCAUCUGGCCCCAUGGACUUACACACGUCCAAUUUCACGAGGAGGACUCAGAGUUGUUCCACUGUUACAGUGGGAUGGAAUCCGCUCCCCACACCCUCACCUAGAGUUUCAGAUAAGACAGACUUUCUUGUAGGCUUACUUUCCAGGUGUAUUCUGAGUACAAAAUGGGACUGUACAAAAGGCUUACUAAUAUCAGGGCAGUCUGCAUUGGUAGUUUCUUCCUUUACAUGAGAUUAGUCAGCUUUUCAAAGAAAGAGAUGAAAAGAUUUUUCGCAGCUUGUCCCUGAUAAAUGUAAUAUUGUUAAGGAAGGACCUGCUUUCAGAGUUAAUAACUGCACAGUGACAUCAGUCAAGAUAGUGGAGCAUCACCUUUCUUGGUAAGAAACUAGUAACUUUUAUCCAUUCUCAUCUUCAGACAGAUGUAGUUUUGACAUCCUCCUUCAGCUUAUUUUCUUGUCAGACAUAUACUAGCUGAACUACAGCCAUUUUCUGAAGAUGUUAGCCAGCCCAUAGAUGGUAAUGGAGGAUUUUCUAUUACCUUAGUCAGCCAGCACUCUUACUGAAGCCAAGAGCAGCUGAAAGCAUGUUUCCAUGCCAGCAAAAAAGAAUAAUUACUCACAGAAAAUAUUACAUCCUGACAGUUCCAACUGACAGUCUCCCAGUUCCAACUGACAGUCUCCCAACCCUGUGGCUUGUCUGUUUUAGCCUAUAUUGAUUCAGUUAACAGUUACUUUAUCUUGCAGUAACUGAGGUGGAUAUAAAGCUAUGUUGUCCAUAGCAUUAAAUUAUAUAAAUGAUACAAAUGUGUCGAAAAUAUAUUUUUUAUAUUACAGACUUUAUAGUAAUAAAAACAAAUAAGGAAUUAAUGCUUUACAUACCUUUCCUGUUUUCCAUUAGCACAUACUUCCUUCACACAACAGCAGUUGCCCUUCAUUUCGUAUGACAAGAUGUAACAUUAAAGCCCAGGCAACUUUUACAUAAUUUCCCAGUGUGUUUUCUUCCUCGCUUCUUUUCCGUUCACCUUCUUUUUUUUUUUUUCUCUCUCUCUCUCUUUUUCUUUUUUUGUUUGUUUGUUUGUUUCAAUCUCCUGUCAAUGUUUUCUAAUCCUCUCCUUUUCCAGUAAACCGUCUCACCAUCCUCCAUCCCCAGUAUGGCAGAGUGAGUGGAAGGAAGGAGAGCACCAGGAUUUGUUGGAAUGGCUCUCAUAACAGUGAGGUAACUGUACAGCAUAAUCUGGAAUAGCCCCAGUGCUUUCUUACAUGCCACUGAGGUGCAGAUUGCCAGGGGCAGCUCCUACCAGGGACUUUCUCCUUGAUGAUGGAUACAGGAACCAGCUGGGUAUGUGUGUGUGCUUUAAGCAUGGAUGAAUGGACUGGAAGUUUCUGAUACAGGUUGUUUUGCCCUAAAUGUCAACUGUAGCUCUGCUUGAUUUCUUUCUGAGGUAAAAUAUAAAACCUAGAGUUUAUUUGUGUGCUUUGGAGGACUGCAACAUAUGUUUUCAGGAUAAGUGUAAAGGCUCAAAAACCCUCCUAUGCAAGGCUGAAAGGUAGGUAUCUCCAGAGCAAGCCUAUAACCUUGCCAAACAGCACACUGCUGUUUAGAGUAGCUUUUGUAUUACUAGGUUUCUCCCUUCCCAAUGGGCUAUGCUUCUAUUAUGUCUUCCUGCAUAAUAUUUACCCUAUGUCUGUAAUCACAUCUGUUAAAAGGGACGUUACCCAGCCAACAAUACUUUUGAUGGCAUAUGGUGCUUUUUAAUUAAAUGUAAGUAUUCAUAAAAGCAUUGAGUGCGCUCUAUUUUUCAGGCCCCCAGCUAUCCCCCAUGGCUCCCUUUAUUCAUUUAAAUGCAUCAUCAGAAAGUCAGAAGGCUUUCUCCCUAAUACAUCAGGCAUAAAAAUGGAACCUGAAAGCAUAAUAAUAGAAGUACACGGUGUAGUUUGUGAAGUUCAGUAUAUUUAAAUCUUGGAGUGGAAACCUGCCUUCCCUUGUAAGUAAAGAAAUCCAUUGUGUGUUUUCAUGAACAGAGAAGGUUACCUUUUACUAAAAAAUAAAUGUAAGAGAGUUUUGAGCGAAAUCAUGGCUGUGACACUGGAAUCUGAUAAAAUUGUGAGCAGUAGAAUAAUGUACUUGUUUUUUAUUGUUUAAUUUUCCUUAUUGGGCUCUUAUCUGGGCAUGGAGCGAUGUCAUUUUUAAUUCUUACUUCCAUCUUCUCUUGAAGUAACUGUUGUGGAAAACAGAAUAUUUUUGUUUUGCUCACUAGUUUUGCAAAGAAAAAAACUACUGAAAAAUAGCAUGGCUUUACUUUUCAAAGACUUCGUAGAUGGAUCAUGCAGCUUUUUUUACGCCAACACAGAAUGCAGUGUUAGUUGAAAAGAUUUUGCUGUUGCAUUAAUCUACUGCCCAUUGUGGACUAUACAGGCAUAGUUCUGAAAGCUUUAAGUAGAGCUAAAUAAAAAAGCCUCUAUAGCCCAAACACGCAACAUGACAACCAACAGUUAGUUGUAAACAAAGAAAUAAAAGACCUCAUUAGUCAAUAAAAUAGGCAACAGACUUAGUACAGUAACCAUGACUUCUGGUAUUCAUCACAGCAAGCAAAGUUUUAAGAACUAGUCUGAAUGAGUGAAUGAAUAGUCUGAAUGAACAGUCUGAGGGAGUUUAUAAAGUGCUUAUGUCUGUAUUACCUUUCAUACCUAAAAGAACAGAGAACCGGGAACGUCAUGGGUCUGAGAUGCAGUGGGCACUAUAAAGCUAUCAGUAUCUUGGUAUUGAUCAGAAAAAAAGGGUCAGUGAGGUAAAAUAGAGUAUGGGAUACCUUCAAUGGGAAAAGUAGCCACAGCUAGACUAUAAAGGAAAAAGCAGCAUGAGUAGGUGGAUGCAAGGUGAGAUACAAAAACAAUGGUCUAGAAAAUCACUCCUUGCAGAUACAUUCUGAAUGGACAAGAGCAGAUAAGGGAGAAGACAUGACUGUGUCUAUCAAAGCCAGGAAUAGGAUGUCUUGGAAACAGAUGCAUGGAGAUGAAAGCUUCUCACUUCAGUCCCUCACACACCCCUGGCUGCCUUGUUAGGUUUUCAUGGCUUAAAGUGCAGACUUCAGCUGUCUCAGUAAUCUUUUAUGGAUUAAACUACUGUCACUGGAGAAACCAUUAAGGCUAAGAUGAGCUCACAAUGUUAGGCUUACGUGUUGCUGUUAAAGCAUAAGCAACUCAAGAUUUUCUGGUAGGAUAUUUUAGAUGUCACCCUCAUCCUAAAGGACUCACAAAUAGAAAUUUUGCUUGAAAAAUGUAAAUUAUGGGUCACAUCUAAAUUGUUCUGCAAGUCAAACUGAAAAUUCCACUAGUUUUCUGUGUUGCAGACUUAGUUUUCCAAGGAAGGAACACAGUGUUACACAUGAAGUCCAAUAACAAUAAGGGUUCUGGGCCCUCCUGAGAAUGAAAGAGGUCAAAUCCUCAUUGCACUUUUCCUGAUAAAAUUCACCAAUUACACAUCAUGUGGUAGGAAGAAACAGGGCAGUCUUGAAGCUCAUUAAAGCUCUCCGGUCUGUGGAAAAAAACAACAUUUCUUUAAAAUGUUUUGGAAAGCAAAACCAGAAAACUAGAGUAAAAUUUAUGAUGGAUAAACCUCUAUUUAUACUAUUUUUUCUUGUUUUUACUUGGAUAAUUUUUUCAUCUCCCAUGUGAUAUGCUUAUUCAGUUCAACCGCCAGCAGAUCUUUCCAUUGCAGUACAAAGAAACUGGCAGUAAAUUACAAAGCUCUGACAACUUGCUUCACUACCUGUAAGAAAAUGCACCACAGUCAAUACAGGAAUUCAGAGCAAUGCAUGUAUUUGGCAACAAGACUUGGGAAAACUGUUAUGCUUUUUUUUUUUUUUUUUUUUUUCCCCAAGUCUUGGCUUUAAAACAGAUCUCUCUGAAAAGCUGCCGUGACUUUAUUUUUCCAGCAAUCGAUUUUUGAAUGGAUGCAUAUCCUGACUCAGAUUAUUAACUUGUAUACAUACACAGUUUGAAACAGGUAUUAGAAGCUGAAAUUCAUGACUUUGCUUCGUGGUAUCCUCACACCAAAAUAUUGAAUAACUAUACUGGAACAGCAGCUACUCCCAUUAUUGUUCAAAGUUGCCAAGGACGUAGUGUUAGGUUCUACCCUGAUGAGUAUUAUAACAUCAGUCAAAUCAAGAAGCAGUGUGAAAACUUGCUGUUAAGCUCCAUUUAGUUUAAACUGCUAGCUAAUUUGCAUUCGCUUUCAGAGCUCUUAAAUGUUUGUAACAAAAAAGUUUCAGUAAACCUUGGUAUGUUUCAGUGAGAUUAAAAAUGUUCAGCACAGUCCUCUAUCUCGUGCUUUCCCAGGUCAGUUUAGCCCAGUCUUGGGACAAUACUGAUUGUUUCUACAGCUACCACUUGACUGAGACAUGAACGUGCAUAUGAAAUAAUUAGGUGAAUUGAAAAGAUAUUACAUGGCCUGCUACCACUUUCCUCAGCAAAUUAGAUGUUUUCCAUUGCAAAACAGCAAUUCUUAAAAUUACUAACAAUCUCUUUUCACCAACACAUUCAAAUUAGCUACAUAUUUCCAAAGUCCCUACUGAAUGACAUUAUUGAGUAUAGUUUGUUAUUUAAGAGCAUUUUUUAAACAAAGUUGGGAGGGAAAUGAAGGAAACUAGAAAGGAAACUAAUGUAUUUGCAAUAACCAGCACUUUUCAUUGUGUUUUUAAUGUUAUAGCAUUGUACUGAGGCCCAACUGAGAUGGGGAAUUCUCUGUAUAAAGCAGUUAAUUUCUUGCAGUAUUAGGAGCAGGCAGUAUAGGCCAACAUUUGAAGGAAAAAGAUGUAUUGCUAUCUCCAUUUUGCAUUUGGUGGAGUGAUGAAGGGAGGCCAGAAAUACAGGCCAGAGGUCAGCUGGAUGGACUUUGUUAGAGUUAGAAAUAGAAGCAUAAUGGUUGGAGCCCUUAGUCCCAAGACCAGCCUUGCUCUCUCACAUCUCUGAUUGCAGCUAAGAUGCUUAUUUAUAAAAUGAAAAACCUCAGAAAGUUUGGUUCAGAUAAGCAUUCAUUAUUCUGAGUGCUUAUCUCAGCCCAACUCAAGCCCACUGACUCCUCUAAGCCUGCAGAAUGGAUGUAUUUCAAGAACUUUUAAAAAUAUUUUUCCCUAUUUUGAGUUCCAGUUGGAAGCAAGCUCUAUGAACAUGAAAGAUAACAUGAGGCAAAUAAAUUUACUUGCAAAUCCCAGAAUGAUUUGAUUUCACUGGUUUUGGUGAAAGUCACUCUGGUCCCUUCUUUUUUCUUUGCAUUGCAUUUGCAUUCUUUGCAUUUUCUUUGCAGGCAUUGAUGAAAAAAUCAGAUUCAAUUACUUCAGUGUGUACUAGAACUAAAGCAAUAGAAAGGGGUUUUGCAUGGGCUGCAUGCCUAAAAUACUGCUGGCAAUAGAACUCCAGUCUCCACAUCUCCAAAGCAACUGAAGUACUUGUUUGUGAAUGUGUUAUAAAACAUUUAAAAUUGUAUGUUUAUGAUAAUAGAUAUAGUAAAUCAUGUGUAGUAUUUAUUAAGUAGUGAGAUCAGGCUUGGCAGCAGAAAAGAUGCAGCACUUUGUUAACAGCACCGUGGCUUAGUUCAGUCUGAUUUGGCUUGGCUUCUGGGAAGAUUUAUUUUAUAUUGGAUCUGCCUAGAGACAGUGCAGGUACAAGAGCUGCUCUGGAAGUAAUGCCUCCUAUUUUUAUGAUAUCGGCCUGUGAUAUCAAAGGUGGGUGUUGGUGGUAUGGUGGUAGAGGUUGAACCUUCCCACCAGCGUUCUGUUACAUUUUGUUGCUGUGUGACAGAUGGCAGCAAGGAGGCAGUCUGACAGAACAGUGUCCGACAUGGAAAUGUGUAUGAAGCAAUGGUGCAUCACUGAAUUCCUCCAUGUGGAAACAAAUGGCACCCAUUGACAUUCACUGCCACUAGCUGAACAUUUAUGGAGAUCAAACAGUGGACAUGAGCACAGUGAGGUGGUGGGUGGUGUGUUUCAGCAGUGGUGACAGCAACAUGAAAGACAAGCCGCAUUCUGGAUGGGCUUGCACAGCUAUCACACCACAAAAGGAAGAGUGUCUCAAGCAGCUCAUCCAUGCAAACCAGUGGAUUAUGACCAGGGAACUGUGUAUGGAGUUGAAUAUCAGCUUCAAUGAGUUGGAGAUGAUGGUGGCAACACUGAAAUAUAGCGAAGUUUGCAUCAGGUUGGUCUUACGAAUUCUCACUCAGGAACAGUAAAAACACCAUGUGCAAGUUUGUCUGGAACUACUGAACCAAUGAGGUGGAAAGUGACACUUUCCUGGAUUGCAUCAUUGCUGAUGAGGCAUCAUGUCACCACUGCAGGCUGGAGUCAAAACAGCAGUCCAUGCAGUGGUGACAUAUGAAUUCCCCAUCAAAGAAAAUGUUCAAGACUCAGCUGUCUGUGGGUUACAUGAUGUGCACUAUCUUUUGGGAUAGAAAAUGGCUGAUCCUUCUGGAUUUCCUGAAAUCCAGACAAACCAUCAGCACUCACUGUUACAUUGUGACACUGACUAAACUGAAGGCUUAAACUUCCAGAGUCAGACCAGAGAAGAAAGCAACCUUUCUCUUGCAACAUGUUAAUGCUGGGCCUCAUAUCAGUUCAAAGACCAUAGAGCACGUUGCCAGUCUUGUCUGAAGUGUCCUACGGGACCCACUACAUGGUCCAGAUUUGGCACCUCCUGACUUCCACCUCCUCAGGCCAAUGAAAGACGGACUACAUUGGCAACAUUGUCCUACCAGUAACACCAUUGUAGCAGCUCUGGUCUAUCACUAGGAAAAACGCCUAACUAAUGGUAGUGACUGUGCUGAAAAAUAGUGUAUCAUAGCUGAGAGUUUGCUCUAUCAAGCAGUGCCAUUGUACUCUUCGUAUUUGUUGUAGUUUCCGUGGAAAUAAGUAGGAGGCGUUACUUUUGGUGCAACCUUUGUGUUUCUACCUGCUUCUACUUCUACCUGCCUCAGUUGUCCUCUCCCACACCUGCAAUGAAACUGAGAUUGAGGUGCUGCAGCCAUGUGGGCCAUGACCUGGCUCAGUAUCUGAGAGGCUAAAUGUCUAUUCUCAUUUGACUAUAAAUUAAUUUAAGUAACAGAGAUGGCUAUGUGCAUGGCAACUUGUCCGUAUAAUAACCAUUUGGAAGUUAGAGCACAGCUCCACAAUUUGUUUUUCAGAAUCAGGAAUACUAUUUAGCUGCCCCACGUGAAUAUACACUUAGAAUAUGUUACAAAAGCCAGUAUGUAAGAAUGAAAAUUCCCAUGGAAUUUAAAUUAAUCCCUGUGUGUUUAUUACAAUAGUCUUUAAUUAUUACAGUUUUUACAAUUCUGAAUCUUCACUGGUAAAAGCAGUGCAAAUGUACUUCUUAAUCUUAGAAUUUCUCUUAGGGCAAAUGUGUACUUGCAAAUAUCAAUACCAAAGCAAUACACAGGCACUGUUUUGUAAAUGUAGGUUUAUGUGCCAAACUAUACCUGUACUGCUGAAUCAUGUCAAUGCAAAUUGGUCCAUAGCCAAGAGUAAAGACAGCUAUCCUUAAGGGUGGGGGUGGGGAGGAAGAGGAAAAGGAAGAAAGAAGAAAAAAAGAUAAAAUGUUAUUUACUUGUAAAUUAGGUGACAGAGCAGACCAAUCUAUUCACUGAACAAAAUGGACUUUAUCUAUGGGAAAAAUAACCUGGCUUCUAAGGGGCUUUCAAGGCUCCUGGCAUUUUUCUAUUACGGUGUACCCAUUCAGGAAUUCUUUCUAUUUUAUUAAUAGUUCUACUCUGCCCAAGCAUGUCAAAAAAGUAUUCUUUUCUACUGCAUGUUAUAUUUAAAAGCACCCGAAUUGUUUAAGUAUGGAAACUGACAGGCUUUCAAGUGGUAUUUUUAGUGAUAAAAAAGUUGUUGCCUUUGCUUUCUGGAAUACUUUAUUAUUAAACUAAGUUUAGAAAAUUAUAUUCACAUGGGCUCCUGCCAGUACUUUUUACUGAAGCUGUGAAUAAUCCUCUAUUUGGACCAUGCUAAGAAUUUAAUCUUCAAUGCUUAUAAUUUGUAGUUAGUUGUCUCCUUAUGUUUCCUCCCUGCAUUCCAUCCAAAAAAGAUGUGUUUGUUAUACUACUUUCAUGGCUGGUGAGAUUUAAAAACCACUAUCUAUCCCCUGCAAUGAAAUAGAGUUUCUCUUCCCCUGGAAAUUCAAUACAGAUAAAAUUUGAGCUGUUUGGCCCUUGAUUAAGUUCAAAGGAAUCCAAAGUAGCUGCAUUUAUUUAGCUGGAGUAAAUCCCAUGCUUGGGUUGAAAGGGACCUUAAAGCCCAUACAAUCCCAACCCCCUGUCAUGGGCAGGGCUGCCACCCAGCUCAGGCUGCCCCAUCCAACCUGGCCUUGAGUCCCUCCAGAGAUGGGGCACCUACAGCUUCUCUGGGCAGCCUAUGCCACUGCCUCAUGUUCUCUGAGUGAAAAAGUUCUCCUAAUAUCUGUGUUCAGAUGCUCCAGCCCUCUGAGCAUCUUUGUGACCUUCUCUGGACCUGCUCCAGAUCCGUAUUUAUUCAAGAGCUAUGCUGAGCUCUUGAUAAAUUAGGUCUUCAUAAAUCUAUGAAUUCAGCAGAACCAGAUUCUCUUCUCUGUUUUGACAACCUUCCAUUUCUGUGCAUGUGUGUAUAGGACUAUUUCUGGAUAUUGACAUCUAGUAUGGUCUGACAAAUACGUUUGUUUGAUUCUGGCUGUAGCCACUUGCAUUGACCUUUCAUUUCCUUAUGCUUAUAGACUAGACUUAAGAUUUAAGGGAAGUUACAAUUACACUUACCUAAGGCAAUAUAUUAGUCAGUAUGUCUCUUUUAAAAAAUGUAGAAAUUGUUUAUCAAAUGGCAUUAAAUAUUUAUCACAAUUUUUACCUACUGUAAGGAAAAAGUUGUUGCUGGGGUGUCCUGGGCACUUCCUCAUGCUUUAGUCAUAAUUGCUGAUUUCUAAAUGGUUGCAAAUGUUUGUCCAUAACUGAGGUUUAUGGACGUCAGAGAGCAGCAUCAGGGAUCUUAUGAGAAGAUGGGGAACAAUUGUAGAUGUUCUGCUGAAAAUCUCCAUGUUGCAAGUCAUUUCUGAGUUUGUGUGCUAAUUCCCUAUUCUUGGCUGUGGCCUCCAAGCUUCUCUUAUUGCAACUUAAGACUAAGUGUGUGCUCUGGUAGGAGUUAAUUAGACUUUCUUCUUCAGAAGUCAGAGUAGCUAGAAGCUUUUAUGUAUUUCUGGAGUUUUGACAUGAAUCAGUUUGGGUUAUAGUAAGAGCGGUUGAGGCUUCAAAGGGCACGCUACACCAAAAAGGAAUGAGUAUACUGUUAGAAGAAUAUUGUAAGUUUAUCUGGAAAAUAUCUGUUGUACUACAACAGUUGGUAUACAAACCUGGGAAGCCCUUUAAGUAGACCUGGCAUCUGUGCCAGAGACUAUGACAAAGGAUGUCAAGGCAUUUGUUUGGAAAACAGGGGGAUGCUGGGCAGUAACAUACGAACAUGAAGGACCGAUAUGUACCUGAUGAUCACUAAUAUUAAGAAAAAAAUCCUGGUCCAGAAUCUUUCCCUAGCCCCUUACCCUUACCCAUUCACUACCAUUUGUCUUCUUGAGUACUGGUACUUUUCACCAUGGAUUACACAAGGACCAGAAAGAAAAUCUAUUUAUAGAGCAAGAGUUAAAGGGGAACAGGGGAAAAACAGUGUAAGGAAAUAGAGCCUCAGCUUGGUCUCUUGAAAUGAAGUCUUAAAAUAUGGGCAAAUAGUGUCUGUAUGACUCUUUAUUCAAUCAUUCAGGAGAUGAUAUCCCAGCCAAACUCUCAAGCCCUUUGCUAGCUCAGAUCCUCUUGAGAGCAGUUUUACUUUCUUGGCUCUGCAGAAGUAGUGGCAGCUGCUGGCCAAGAUAGCCUAAUAGUUUGAGGAAGGGGAAGUUAUUUCAUCUCAUGAAAGUUUGCAUCAAUUCAGCGUUAGCAAGCAGAUCCUACUGCAGGAUCCAGCAACCAGAAGCAUAUUUGCCAAACCUGGUUUUUGUUUUUCUUUAUACAAGCAAAAGCUCCUAGCUCAUUGGCAGGCUUUGGCUCAGCUUCCCAACCUUCAUUCAAAACAUCCUCAGCCCUCUUGUUAAACAUCAGAAAUGCCAUGGAAAGUUCUGGAAAGCAGUUCCAAGGCAGGCCAUUUGUUCAGGGGGCAAGAUGAAGGGCAAAAGCCAGUUGUGAGAGAGAGAAACUGAUGAGUUGGUAGGUUUGAAAGCAGCAUUUCCUUCACUCAUAGCUGUAUUUCAAGGAGAACCAGAUACCAUUCUCUGGUUUUGGAUAAAAUGAGCCCUGAAACUUUCCCAUUUUGUUCAGGGCUUUGUCCAAUUUUUGUAACUCUUUUCAUUUUCAAGUCUUUUGCCUUUUUCAUCAUUUAACAUGAUAGCUAGUGGAAGACUUUGUGGACUCCUUGGAUACAGGUGAGAUUCUGAGGUUCUUUCGUCCUUCCAGUUCUGCUGCAAGCUGGUCUUAGGGAAGCUGCUAUUGUCAGGUACAGUUUCUACAAGUGGAAAAUAGGAACUUUCCUCCAGAAGGCAUUUGAAGAGCUAGGAAUGAUGUGUGCUGUAACAGUUGCUUCAUCCUUACAAUUGCUCUAUGUCACUGCAGUGCUGGAUAUUAGCCUUGUAACUAACGUCAGCACUUGAAUGAUGAAGUCUCAUACCUUUGUCCUCAUCAUGCCUUUCUAACACUUCCUCGCUGUUUCUGUACUUUGACAAAGUCUCCUUUCUUUGCCUCCAAAUUACCUUACUUCACAUAUAGUUAGAUUUCUGGGAUGAGUUGUUAAAGACUUGCAGAGUGUUAAAUACUCUUGGCCUGUGGUUGAGACUCCAUGAAUUACUGUAAUAAAAGUAGAGUUUAAUGAAUAAAAAAAGUUUUGUCACUGACACUUUAUAAAUAUUACUUAUAGAUAACUUUCAAAGGAACUUUCAAGCCUGUUUAACAAUAAUGUAACUUUCUCACCUGUCACCUUUCCAUGUUUUACAUGUGAAGAAAGAAAUAGUAUUCUCGGUGCUUAAUUAAUAUUCUUUGCCUCAGACUGAUGUUAGCCAUUAUGCUUAGGAUAGCUCAUUCUUUUGGUACAUCUCCUGAAGAGUAAGCAGGGUUAUUCACACAUAAUUAAGUGGUCAAGGACUAAAGUUUGUCAUAUAAAAGAGAUUCAUUUGGUUUAAUAAGUAGCUAUUAGAUGGAUGCUUCCUGAAUCAGUGAAUAAUCCCUUAAUUUUUUCAUGACUGCAGUGAGCUGAAGCUCAUCAGCUCAACAUAAAUCAUGGGUCUGCAGAGAUCUGCUCUACUGAAAAGUCUGCAAUUAGAGGAAAAUAGUCUGCUCCUAAGAGGAGAUCUAAUUGGUUCUAUGAGUUCUCCUACCCAAGAGACAAACUCUUUCCUCCAUUCUCUGGUCCGAUGGAUGGCAGUUGAACUGUUUGGAAAGUUAGUCCUUGAAAUCACAUGCCUUGGCAAGACUAUACGAUAAAGCCUUUAAAACUGUAUUUAUUACUAUGAAUAGUUUAUUACAUUCGUACUUGCAGCAAUAAUUUCUCAUUAAGUGCUGAACCAGUUUCUAUUUUCUUUUUCUUGAAUUUGAAUCAGUAUUAGAAGCAUAGGCUGACAAAAAGGCAGAAUAAUUAUGUGAAAAGCAAUUCCCAUUUAAAGAACCGUUGAAAUACUAUCAUGAAACAAGAGUCAGAGUGAUGCUUAUUGUUCCUAGUCUGCUAACUACACUGAGAAAUACAUGGCUGAAGAAAGGACGUCCCCAAAACUUUUGCUUGCCUCUGGACUGACAAUUCAUAGACCUCUCCAGUUUUUCAGUGAUUUUGCUCAUCCUACUCCUACACAGGUUGGUUGUUGUGUUUCCUGGCUUAGGAUAGAGGCAACAAAUGUUGUCUGACACCACACUAUACAAAAGACUACAUCUCCCACUGCUUCCAAGCUAACUGGACUCCUGGAAAUUCCAGAAAUACCCUCCUAUCCCCUUCCAUGGAUUUUCUUCUGCAGGAGGCUCCUGCUUAGAAAGGAUCAGACCUCAAGAGGAGUCUGGAUAACCUUACAGAUCCAUUAGGAUACUGUCUUAAGGAAGAGACGGGUCUCACACUGUUCUCUGAAAGCUGCAGACAGGAAAUUUAUUGUGCUGAUGCCACUACUGAGUGCCAAAAAUGGCAAUGGACACUUGAGUUGACACAGUCUCCAAGGUGGAGCCAAGCACAGCCAGGUGCAGUGGUUGAGAAGCUCCUGUUGCCAGUCAGCUGCCUGAGGGGGCUGAACCAUCGGGCCAGUGAAGCACUCUUAUAGCUGCUGUUCAUCUUAGUGGAUGAUGCUGGGGACACAGUGCACAGUACAGUAUGGUGGAGAUGAAACAAUUAGUAUUUAACUUUGGGCAGCAAAGAGUACAGACGAGGCACAAAGUUCUGCUACCAAAUAAAAGGGAAGACAAGGAGUACUGAAAUUCAGUGACUGGCCUGAGUCUGCUUGGUGCCUUGAUGUAAUGACUUCAGUGGAAAAAAAAAAAAGUCUCAGCACUGAGUAAGGUCUAUGGGAGGCCAAAAAAGAACUUCAUAAGACCCGCAUUCUUCACAGCUGGAAGACUGUAAUCUGGAGAGUUACUGUUCAAAACCAGAUAUUCUGCAUGGCACAGAGUAGGUCACUUUGAAGCUCCCUCCACUCAUGUUACAUCAGCAGCUUGAGAAAAGGUAUGUUUAAACAGAGAAACCAGUUAAAACCAGAACAAGAUGGUGGCUUCAGUUCUCUGGGCUAGGCUGAGCAGAUCCUAGCAGAGUUGUACCUUCUGUAGGAUAUUCUCCAGGAGAAUUGAUUUGCUACUGUUCUCAGGCUGGGGACAUCUUCUUCCCUCCUGCUGGACCAGCUCUGCUUGCAUUGCAUGCUAGAUGCUGGGCUUUGUCUGUAUUUUUUCCAGACUCUGGGAAACCAGCACUGUAGAACAAAUAGAAGUUGGGCCACUUGCCUCCUGGGGACUGAUUUGACAGAAAGAUUGCAUUAUUUUACAAGCAAAAGUCUUGGUUUGAAUAAUAGCCUAAAUGUACAAUAAAUCAAUGGAAAAAGAAGAAUAGUCUUUUUGAGUUGUGAGAUUACUGUCUUCUUCACUCAUCCUCCCAAACAAGAAUGAUGAUCCUAUAUGCUUUUGUGUUGUUUCAGUGGCAUAAAUGUGUGCUGCUGUUAUCAAAUGCAACUUGAAAUGCUCUUUGUCCUAAAAGGAUACUGUGUGAAUAGGGACAAAAUAAGAGUUUGAGGUGAAAGAUGAAAAAAAAGCCUUACUGGUGAGUAAAAUCUUAGGCAAAAGGAAUUGCUCAGAAAACCUUUGGAAGGUGGAAAUGGAAACAAAACAUACUUGAGUGGAGAAGUGAGUCUGAGGAAGUAUGGAAGGAUGAAGAACAAAGCUGUGGUGACAGCAGAGAUGGGGAUGGGAUUGCAUUGAUGGGACUGUUUAAAAUUCAUGCUGAAGAAAAGACAUGAUGCUUAGGAUCAAGGCCCUGGGUGCUAAAGGAGCAAUGAAGUGAAGGAGCAGGAAAGGAAGUUCAUUUGAACUUCAGCAUAGUUGAACACAAAUAAUCCUUACCACCUCAGUGGUGUUCAUAAAAUGGUAUGGCAGAGAGGGCAAAAGCCUCAUAAUUGCACCACUUCAUCUCACAGUCCACUCAGCCACAGCACUUUUGUACAACUGUGGCAAGGCACUUACCCUCUGUGUGCUUCUGUCUUCUCACUGUGUGCUGUAAAAUGAGAGUAAUAAAUUCCUAAGGGUAGGAAAGGCAUAUGUGGAUGCAUACUUCAAAGCUCAUGAAACACUCAGACACACUAAUGUACUCUCUGCCACUAAAAUUCCUGUACUAAUUUCUCUGUUUGCUAAUUGGAGUCAGGGCAUCAUUAUUUACUCAUGAAAACUAAGUGGAAAAUAUGGUUUCUCACUCUGGAUAUGCAGCUCCAUAAAGAAAAGAAGCUUAAUUUCAAAGGCUAAACUCUGACCUGCUGAUAUACCUGGGAAAAGAACAGCUGCUAUUGUAAAAAAAAAUAUAUUCUGUUGCUAUAGAAACCUCUACAACAUGGAGUGUCUUACAUGUGAGUAGUAUAGAAGGAGAAGUAUGGAAAAACAUUUUAUAACACAAGACAUGGUCUUCCUUUUUCUACAUGUGGAAGGAAAGAAAAACAUAUUCAAGGAAAGUGUGGUUAUGUUAAAUAUUUUGUUACUGGAAUGUUUGUUCUCACAUGCUACCUCCUCUGAGUUUGACAAAGGAGAAGAGCCAGCUCCACUUUGAUUGCAGGCAGUAUCCUGUAGUUCUCCCUCAGGGAUUCUUGAGAAACCUUUAAACUGCUUAAUAUUCGCUCUCUCUGCUCAGAGUUUCUAAAUUAUUUAAAUGACAUGAAGAAAAAUGCAAUUUAAGCUGCUUCUAUAUGUGCAGGUGCCUGGACAGCAGAGUUCAGCUAGAAAAAAAGCACAAAUGUGAGAGUUUAGGUUUUCUGUAAAAUGCACCCAGUGCAACUUCAUGCGUACACAGGUGUGACUGUGGUGGGAGAGAACCUGUAAGUAACAAGUAAGCACAGUAAGCCAAAAAAAAAACACCUCCCUUCCUUCCACUACUGCCCUAGUCAAAAUUCUGUGUGCAGUGUGAGGUAGGCUGAUGUGUCUGCUUCUCGAUUUUCCUAACAUCCAACCUGCAUCUCCCCUGGUGAAAAUUAAGGCCAUUCUCAUUCAUCCUAUCACUGUUAUGUGGGAGAAGAGGGCAAUGCCCACUUCACCACAGCCUCCUUUCAGGUAAUUAUAGAGAGCUAUAAGGUCACCCCUGAGCCUCCUCUUCUCCUGACUAAACAAUCCCAGCUCCCUCAGCUGCUCCCCAUAACACUUGUGCUCCAGACCCCUCAGCAGUUUCAUUGCCCUUCGUUGAACAUGCUUCAGGAUCUCAGUGACUUUCAUGUACUGAGGGGCCCAGUGUCUGUUUGUCGAGGCUAGUACAGGAGGAAAGCAGCACUUUCUCAUGGUUGUAAAUGAGUUAAAAUUUCCUUCCUGAUGUCAGCUGAUGUGUGCUAUCAAACUGUGUGUGUCACAGCUGGAAACUGUGUUUUUGUCCAGCUGUUCAUCUCCUGGCCUUGAUGUUGGGAAGGGACCACAGCUAUUUGAGCACCACCAACGUUUAAGGUGCAUUGGGAGACCUUUAUGAGAGAGCCCCGCUGAAAAUCAGAUGAUCUGCAGGCUUAACAGGGAGAUCAAACGUAUUUCCUUGGCUGACUUCUCAUUUUUGCUGAAAGCAAGGCAAAUUACUCAGGACAUGAAUUGCAGCCCUGAAUACAGGUCAUCUUUUUUUGCUUCCUAACACUCAAGGGCAGUUGUAUGUCUUCUUUUCUUUUUUUUUUUUUUGCCUUUUUUAUGUGUUGGAAACUCUUCCAAACACUGUGUUAGCAUAUUUCAGUUCAUAGAGAUCUUGUGAACCUCACUGUGUCCCUUGUUUUCUGCAUUUUUUUCUUGCUCCAAUUAAAUUUUAUUCUGACUUUGGCAUUUUCAAGAUGUUUUCUGUUACUUGCCUGGAUAAACAGAACAGAAUUUAACUCUUGCUUUAUGCGUUCUCAUGAUGCUCAACAGUCCUCAGUCCAUUUCCUUAUAAAUGCUUAAGUAGAUUUUGAUAUAAUUAGCUAAGUAAGCAUAUGGCAAAAAAGCACAACCAAUGUGCUUGUUUAUAAAAAGCAGGCCAAUGCUUGAUUUAAAUCAGAACGCACAUGAUUUGCUCUGAAACUAUUAAAAUGCCUAUUUCUGACUCCUAUAUUUCCAUGACUUAGUGUUUCAUACAAGCGUCUUCAAUUUCUUACAGUUUUUGGCAUGUUAGUUUAGGAUUCAUUGACACAUACAGAAAAUCAAAUAGUUUCUUUUACUUGCAUAUAGGCAGUGUUUUCCUGUCCCAUUCAUGCCUUCCUAUGGCAAAAUGUGGAAGUACUUGGCCACCUUCUAAUGUUCAGGAUGUUCCUGGUGAUCUUAAAGUAGAAGUAUGGUUUCCUGGGCUAGGGUCCCAACAGCCACUCAUUGCUGUCACAGGCAUAAUAAUUCAUGUUAAAAGUCUCAUCCCUGAGGAAUAUCUGCAAGCAUCUGUCACCGUCUGGGUCCUAAUUAACAGGAACCACAACCAGCCUUCUUGGAAAUGGUUAUAAUUAGUGCUGCUGGAGGGACUGGCCACUCUACUGAUGAACUCUGCGCUAGUCAGCCAUGGCUCUUGAUGCGAAGCAAAUGCUUUGCACUGGGAAGCACAACUUCAGCAGAGGAAAUCCAGGCAUUUUUAACCAACAUAUCAUGACAAUAUUUAACCACAUACAGUCUAUCAUACAAAGAGGUAUGGUUUAUAACAUUUCUACGUGCUUUGGUAUAAUGCCUCAGAUUUUAGACUUCUCCUUGAAGAUUGUGAGAAAAAUGUGUGUCUUUUUUCUCUCAACUGUAUCAUUUCACUGAACUAAAAAUGAGAUAAGCUUCCACUGAGAGAAGCCCUCUCCCAGAUCUGAAAUGGAGGUGGUGAUUGUAGGCUACCUGCUGUAGCAAAGGAGUUGAACUCAGUGAUCCCUCCAGGUCCCUUCUAACCCCUGCAAUUCUGUGAUUCUGUGACUAUCCAAAUGCUAUCAUCUGAGGGCAAACUGUUGCAGGUUCAGCAUGACUGUGUUGUCUCUUGGGCUGCCUGAGUGAGAAGCUGGUUGAUACCUUUAGAAGAGAGUGAGAAACUGUCAUGGAGAGAAAUAAAAGACAGCAGCACUCAUGCUAAAUGGCCAAGAAGAAUCUAUUCUAAUAGACUUCUAUGUACAAAAAUCAUUUCAUCAUUUCACAAAGACCUGGACUGAUGAGGCAAAGGGAAGGUCUUGGGAAGGAAGGAGUGCAGGCUACACCUCUCUGAUUUUGCAGAAGACUUAUAGCUUCAUGUUUCUGAGGAAGAACAUUAUCAAAUUAGUUGUCUAUCUUUACACCAGUAUCAGUAUAAAAAAUGCAGUUAGAAUGGCAUUUAAAUCACUCUUAAUUUCAUUAUCCUAGUGAUCUGCAUGAAUUUGCAUGGUGUUUGAAGACAUUUUUGCUUUUUCUUAAUGCCAGUCUUCCUUUACUUCCUCCUAACAGGCAUUGUGGAAGUUUAUCUGUACUUAAAUCCCCUUGAGGUGAAAGCUCAAUAGAAAUCUAAACUGUGAUAUCUUUGCGCAUGAAGAAAAUACACUCAUUUAUUUAUAUUAGUGUCAAACUUGUCUACUGCACUUUUUUUCUUCAUCUUAAUUGAAUGUUCCUGCAGUAGCAGACACGGCGUGUGCUUAAGUAGGAAGGACUAAUUGGAAGGAGCUGUCAGGUUAACAGACAUUUAGCUGAAUAGAUUGCACUUCAGUUGGAAAAUUUCCACAGGAUAAGUCUGAAGAGUUUAUAAAGGUAUAGAAUGGAUGCAGGAGGAAGAGGGUAGGAGGAUACCUGUUUGGGAAAUGUGUAAGGCUGCUAUGUAUCUACAGUGGAUCUUUUAAACUAGAAUGGAUUGAAUACUAGAUAGAUGAGUACCCUGUAGGUUACUGAGGACUUAACAGUUUCUUGUUUACCUUAUUUCAUCAUUUCUUUAACCCUUCUACAGUCUAGGCAUGGGAUUUUGUUUAUUUCUUGUGUCACUACUGGAGUAACAGGCAAAGGAAGAUAGGUUCUCCAUCUGUUAUGUUUCACUGCUGCAAAGCUGGGAAGGUUUGUUCCUACCACCAAUUUACUGGAAAAUAUCUAACGCUAGACCGAGUAUGUAAACACGGGAUUACUCAUGGAACUCUUGACUAAAUUCCUAGAGAAUAUAAUGAGCUGCUUCUAAUGUUAAUGUGUCCUUUCUUAAACUCAAAUAUCUUAUUUAUUUCUCCCAGGAUUAUGCCUUUACCAUGUUUUCGCAUUAACCAUAUGGUUUAAUCUCUUAAUAGCGAGUGUCUAAACACUCUUCAAGCCUAGCCUAAUAAAAAUGGUGGCAUGGAUGAGGCCUGUCAGUUUCGGAUGGCUCAGCUGCUUGCUGCUCUGCAUACUGUCCAGCUGUUUAAAGGCUAUAUCCAGCACAGGGAUCUGUAGUGCUGAUGCUUGUGCAGUGCCCGAGCUUGGCAUAUAUAGCUGUGGGAUCCACUGGGAAUGAGUCAUGAAUAGUCCCAAAGGACUGGGAGAAGAGAAAUGUCCUAGAGACCCAGGGGAAGCUGCAGGGAAGCACCCACUGCUGAUCCCUGGGAGCCAGGACAACUCUCCCCUACUGACGAAUUUGCUAGCCACAGCCAAACCACUCAAAGCCUGGGAUGACCCUCACAUCAGGAGCCAUGGGAAGUGCUUGGGCUGCCCUAAGUGCAGCGAUUGACCCUUAGAUGAUGCUCUUGUGUGGUCUGCAUAUGAUGUGCAUUUUAUUUCUAAGUAUAGGAAGAUAGUUAACCUAUUUUUAGCUUUUAUUUUAUACCACUAUUUGUAAAUAAUGAGCUGCUCUCUGAAUAAACAGAAUGAACAUGAAGUUUUCCAACACUUUGUAGGAAGAAUGGCUUUGAGAAAAAACUUUUACCAAGAUUGCUCUGGAAUGAGCAAAAGCCAUUUUUUCCUCUGAGAACAGGCUACCUGUGUGCACUCACAUCCCAGCCCUUACCCCAGCUAUAGAUGGCCCAGUUGCAUUGCUCUCUCUUGCUCAAGACAGAUUAUUCUGAUUAGGCAGAAGCUUCUGAAGAUUGCUUAGGCACUUCCAAUGGAGAAGGACUUCACUGCCAUAUUUGCAUUAGUAAAUCCAUCCUAUGAUCCUUAUAACAUUUUCAUUUAUCUGGAUAGAUGUAAUGCAUCUGCACUAAAAAGCUAUCAUUUAUUCUUUUUUAAAGAAUGUAUGCAACUAUUUUAUACUCCAGGCAGCCUCAUCUGCAGAGUAGAAUCACGGAAUCAUUAAGACUGGAAAAGACUAGAAAAGAAAUUCUUCCUAAUAUCCAGUAAACCAGAUGUAAAUUCCUGUUCCAGAGACACAUCUGUGUUUAUUUCUGCAUAGAUCUAAUGGAAAAUUAUAUUUGAUGUGACUCUAUGAUCUGUACCACUGUCUCUCUAUUUACAGGAAUGUUAACAUAAAUCUGAAAAAGCUGUGAAAAUACUUGAUUCAGAUGAAUGCAUUAUACUGUUGCCAUCUAACAUUUCCCUUGUUGACUUUCCUGGUGCCUGGUAAAGUUCAUAUGCUUACAAAAAGGGUUCAGUGAUUGACUCAUGAUACCACUAUGAUACCACUGCCACGGUUUAAUAAGGAACUGAAUUGAACUUUUUCAUAAUUAUAUUGUACCAGGAAGAGGUGAAUAUUUUUCCUUCCAUUAUAUUAUAAUGGAAAGUGGCAUCGACCUAUUGGAAAUCUCAGCUUCCACUCGGUAAUUCUGAAUUAAUUACCAGUAUCGUUGGCUCCAGCUCAGCAAAGCAUGCCUGUUGAGCAAGACAUUGAAAUCAGAUAGUCUUAAAUUUAAUUAUGUGGUUAAGCCCUCUUUCUCCUUUCCAUAGUUUUUAGCAUAUACUUGUCACUCUGAGUAGAGACUUACAGAUUUAAACCUAUUUAAAGGUUUGCUCUGUUGUGGACUUGUUCCCCAUUUAGCAUCGGAAUAGAUAACAUUAAUUUUUAUUUUCAUUUGCAAAACCUUAGUCUGAAUGACUUUUUUGCUCUUCUGCUGGCACCAGAGUUGGCUGGUCGAGAGUGGUGAUCGAAAAGAGUAGUGUUGAAUUUCUCCACUUGGUGGCACUAAGAAAUAACGCAACUGCCCUCGUAACGAGGCUGUAAAACGUGGCCGAGUGGUUGGGGAUAACUGAGCACAGUGGCUCUGGGAAAGGAAGACAUCAAGUGAGCAGAAAUCCCAUCACUGUUUUGCUUGUCAGAAGUGUUAUAAGUUUUCAGCAGGGAGCGCACCCGUUGGGAUAUUAUCUCUGCACUUGGACAUGCAGAGCAAAUCUCUUCCCUCGCUGUUGAGUCUGGUGACAGAUGUUCUGCACUUCUCUUACAUUUGCUACUUGCUUCAGAGUGAGGUGUACCUAGGAGAGAUUUUGUUGGAGUCUGGGAGGAGGGAGCCACAAAGCCUACAUCUCCAGUGCCUCAUUUCAGGCACCAUUGGAGAGUUUCUCUUGGACAAGGAGAUUUGCAUGAAUCUCCCUUGGGAGCCCCUCAGUGUAAAUAUUAUUGCCUGCUUGGGAGAAGAGAUGCAGUAGAGCCAUGUAAGGAAUAAACUUGCUCUGAGGGGAUGACUUUACUGACUUAUAACCACUGCUAACGCAGAAAAUGAACAAACUGGACAUAGCAUUUAUCCAGGUUCUUUUGCUUCUUGGUUAAUAAUACCCAGUAAAGGUCAAGUGCCCUAGGAAUGGAUUUCAUUUGUGGUUACAUUCCUGCUCCCUGGUGCAGCUCUUGUUUUGGAUCUGCACUGAAAUAUUGUUUUUUUUUCUCUCCUUCUGCACAUGCUUUUCCUGGCUGGGGUUAUUUAUUCAGAACUCUGAGCUGUUUUUCUGCUUGUAAUUUUUGUCUCUUAUCAGUUCUCCUCAUAGUGUGUCUUUGAAUCCCAUUAAAUCCCCUAUUAAAACAAACAAACAAAAAUGAUCAUAAUUAGUCUCUGCCUUUUAAACAGGGAGAAGUUUUCAGAGCUGAAAAGACUCUUCUGACAAAAAGGGAACAGACAUCUGGAAAACAGUGUAUAUUUUCCCGGUAUUUCCAGAACUAAGGCUAUGCCUAUACUAGCAAGCAGUAUGGUUGAGCAAAUCUGCAGCAGCAAUGCAGCCAGUGUUGAGGACUCAGUGUGUACCCAUCUAUAUUUCUGAAGGAGUGACUUCAGGCUUGGGUCUGCCCUGGAUAAGAGGGGCAGCAGAGGCUGGAACACCACUGGAAAGAGGUGCUCCGGCGAUGUAAGCAGGAGCUUGGUGCAUGAAGAGCACUGGGACAUCCUCUACAGGUGUGGCUUCCCGAGCUUCUGUUCAAGCUCGAUGUUGUGCCUCUAACUGUGAGCAAUGCAAUGGAAUUGUAAAUUGCUGCUAUCACAAUAUGUGAGGAUAACGAAGUGGGAUGGAUGGGGAGUUUAUUACUGAUAGCAAUUGUUCUUCAUCAGUGCUGUGGUGACUGGAAGUCAGCAUCACAAUAUAGUUCAGUGUCUUGCUGAGUUAAUAUUGCCUGUCCAGGAGGAUGGUGCUCACAAAAAGCACUGCAAGCACUGCUGGCAGUACCACAGUGGGAGGCAGGUUUUUGUAUUUUGGAUGUUCUAUCUAGAAAUUGGAAGAGACAGAGGUGAGACUGCAGCACUGGCAGAGUAGAAGGACAAAACAGAUACCCUAUGGAGUUUACCUGGGAGCAAACGGAGAUGAUUAAAAACAUCCCAGGCCAACAUGGAUGAUGAUGUGUGAAAAAAGUAAUGGGAGAGAGAGAAGACUGAUGGGAAGGUAAAUCACAGAAAUCAGUUUCUGCCAUCCUGAGCUUGAAAGUUGUGGAAACUUCCACCGUUAUGGAUAAGUGCAUGGUCAUAUUUGCACAACAUAGACAUGAUCCAAAAGCAGUGAUUAUAAACUCCCCAGGUAGAGACUCAAAUGAGUCUCUACAGGAACAGCCAUUAUCACUUGGUUUUUACAACACCUGGCAAGCUGGAACUGAGCCUGCAGCAGCUUAUAAUUUUUGCAAUAUAUAUGUUUGAUGCUAAAUAAAAACAAUCAGACCCAUAUUAUUCUUCUAACAAGCAAUAAUUGAGUGAAAAUCAUUCUUGCAAGAGCUCUCCAUUCUUUAUGAGAUUUAGUAUAGUUAAUGCUUAUUACUCUAUUCUUUUGUGGGCUUUCUAUAACCCACUGUAAUUAACAAUACCCGUAAUACAUAAGGCAGCUGGAAUAUAGUCAUGAAUGUCUGACUCCUAUGUUGAUUUCUGGACUCUCAGUUCCUGGUUCCUAAAGAUAAUCAGAAACUCAUUUUUUUAGUUUUAUGACAAUAUCACUGAGGCAAUAUUGCUGUCAGCAGCGAGCACCAGCUAAGAGAAAAUGACCUUUAAGGAAAGACCUUUAAGACAUUGCUUAAUGCAUGCUGCUGACACUUUGAAAAGUAGCCACCGUGUUGCAAAAAUGGCCCUUUAAAAACAAAACCCUGAGAAAAAUAUCCAUUAUAAUUUCUCACUCAGCAAAAUUGCUGAAAUGUAUUCCUCUCCCAUGCUCAGGAAGAAGCAGGUUUACUUGGUCAUAAACAAAAGCUGAGGCAAUCACUUUGCCAAGCACCAUGUUAAUAGCACAAACUGUCUUUAAUAGUCAAAGGCAGUGAAACAGCAGGAGGGCUGCCAUUAAAACUGCAUUUUCCUCUUUAAAGCACAGAGCCAUUAAAGGCAAUGGUUAUUUGGCAAUAUCUUCAGUGCAAAAAGAGAAAACAAAAUAAUUUGGAAACUUUCUGACAUUUGAUGCUCACUGAGCAUGAAAUUUUGUCUUGCAUAUUUGGGCUGUGACUUUCUCUGGUGACAUGCUUCUUGUUUACAUUUGAUUUAAAUCUCAUUUUGGGGGGGAAAUUGUAUGUGUGAAUUCUCUUUGUGUAAACUUCAAAAUGCUUUCGUAUGUCGGAGGGGUUCAUAUCAUUGUGCAAUCAUACAAAAAUAACAAGUAGACCACCAAAAAAGAUGUUUGUGAUAUGAAUUCCCUUCCUCCUAUUUGUUAACAGUGAUGGAAAUGGGCUCCUAAAAAUUUCAAGAAAUUAAAAUUACAAGAUUGCACCCAAUCUCCUGUAGUGGAAAUCUAGCAUUAUCGUCAAUCAAUGUGAGAAACUAAGGGUGGUCACCCUUGCACUUGUACAAACAAGAGAUGUGAACAGGCACAGACCUUCUUUAUAAUGAGAGCCAGAAAUGAUGGAGUAGUCUGUAGACAGAAUUACUAUAGAGAGCACAUUAACAUAAGAUAAUUUUUUUUUCCAGAUAAUUAAUAAACAUGUAAAGGUUAAUGCCAAAAUCAACUCUCAGAAAAUGCUAUAGAUAAUUGUUGUGAACUUACAAACAUUAAUUAUACCUCAUAAUUCUCAACAGAGCAUCCAAUUAACAGGUGAAAAACCAGGAACUUAACAUCCUACACCUGUUCAUGCCAAAAGCUCUAUCACAACGGCAUUGGUUCCAAAGGUACCAGAAUCUUCAAUACUUAAGGAGUGAAAUGUGGCAAAUAUGACAAUAUUUUAAAACAGUCACUAAUCCAAGCAAGUAGAGGUCACUAAGCCUAAAGUCCAUUCUAGCAAAGCUUGAUGAAGCCAUAAUAAUAUAAAGAACAUAUUUAUGCAGUGGCGUUGAAGAUUUGUAAGGUAAAUUUCAGAGUUUCAGAUGGGUACACAUUGCAAUCUGUGUAGUUAAUGCUCUUGGAGAUGGAGUGAAUACACAUAUGAUGAUGUUUUUGACUAUAGAAAAUCAGAGUAAUCAAAACUAAGAUUGAUUGCAAACUAUCACAGAAUUGCCAUGCAAUACUGAAAGACUGGGUUAAAAAAAAGUCAGAUGAAACCUAAAGGGAUAAGACAGAGGGGGAAAUGAUGCAUUCAUGAAUGGCAGACCUUGUUAGCCAUUGCCAGUCAAAAAAGAAAUCUUGUCACCAUUGUGGGAGCUUCUGAAAACAUCACCCCAUUAUUCAGCAUUGGCUGAAAGAACAAAGUCCUAUUAAUUGUUAGCAAAAAAAGAAAAAGGCAGAAAUAGAAAAUCCCUUUAUGCCAGUCUAGAAAUCUCAUGUAUUUCUUGUAUCUUGAGUGUUGUAUACAAUUUUAGUUGCUUUCCUUUCUGAGAAGAUGGAGGAAAAGCAUAAGGAAGGAGGUAAAGGUGAUUGGAGUUAGGGAAUUUCUUCUGCAGAUGCUGCAGAUUGGAUGUUUUCAUAUGAGAGAAGAAGACUGAGAGAGAAUAAGUCUUAGAUUUAUAAAAUCAAGAUUAGUAUGAAGAAUGUGAACAAGAAGGUAUCCACUGUUCUUUGCAGCACAAAGUUAAAGGACAUUAAAUUAAAUAGUUUGGAAGCCAAUUUAGAAGAAAGAGGUUGAGGCAUUUUCCAGGCAGUGUUAGUAAACUGCUGACAGGAGGCUUUGAAAGCCAAGAGAUUAAGUGAGUUCAGGAAAAUGAUUAGUUAAAUUGAUGGAAUAAGGCUUGUCAGACACUGUUAAAUACAAUUUAAUCAUGAUAGAGUCUUCAAUUUAGGAAGUGCCUGAACAGGGGCUAACUAUGGGCUAGAUGAUGUGGAUAUAUUACCAUGUAUUCACCCUUCCCUUGUAAUCUCUGUUUUAUAAUAUGCUACUUCCCUCAGAAUUCUCCCUUUGACAGUAGGCUACAGACAGACAUUCCACUGAAACUUGUAUGGUCCUCAGUUUGUAUUUUAGAUGAGACCUUGCUGCAUAUAUAUUUUUUAAUUGAGAGUAGACAAGAAUUCAGAGUUCUAUUUAUUUCUCUCAGUAGCCUUCCUUAGGUUGCAUUUAUGCAGUCAUUUCCAUUAAUCUAAGACUGAGUAGCUGUAAUAUUUUGUAAUAUUAUACAUAUACGUGGUAAGAGAAACAAUCAUAACACUCUUUCUAGAGGUCAAUGAAUCCUGUCUUUGUUUUCAUGUCUUAGGCUGUGUUAAUAGGGUACUGUGCUCCAAGGAUUUUUCAAGAAUGGGAGCUACCUUAUUCCGUAAUUACUGCCUCACUCCUCAGACAGACAUCUGUCACUUCCACGACUGUGUGUGUUAGUGUUUUUUUGCUGCUAGAAUAUUAAAGUUCCAGCUGAUGGUUAUAUAUCUCUUUUGUAGUGCCCGAGACAAUCUUUCUGUUCCAUUAGGAAAAGGCUGAACUCAUCCAUAUUUUUAUUCUGAUCACUUUUUCUAGUACAUUAACAUACUGGCAUAUCUAUAUCUGAAGGUACAGAGUCUAAAAUCCAUUGAGAAAAUUGCCUUUUGGACAGCUAGAAAAUUUAGCAUUUGCCCUCCAUCCGUUGAAGGAUUUUUUUUUUUCUGUAACUGAAGACAACAUUCAUGUCCCCUGAUUUGUACAUUUACAUUCCAUACAGUUCAAAACAAGCUACUUACUAGUGCUUUGUACUAUGCUAAAUGUUAGGAUGCAACUAUCAGCAUAAUAAAUACAGUUAUCUGUGUGCAUGCAUUUAUCUUACUGGUGGAUCAUUACAACUGAAGUGUGAACCUUUAUUUUUAGGCAUUACUGAAACCAAUGUUUCUUUGCUUUUCAGUCUUUGGUUUAUGGUAGAAAAGAACAAAACCCAGAAAAUCAGAACAUGCAAGGAGCACUGAACUUUGGCUCCCACCCUUUAGCAAAACAGAUGAAAUUAACAAAUGAAUCCUAAUAAUCCAAAAUCAUACAAAGUUAGGCAAGGGGAUUUGAAGCUUUGCCUUGAUUCUCCUGUCUCAUCUCUUAUCUGAAUGUAAUAUUUUUUGUCACCAUACUUCACUGUACAUUUUCUGUCUUCAGAUAAAUGGGAACCAUGCUCUAUAUUCUCAGUCUUUGUAGAUGAAGAGUCAGUAAAAAUUCAUCAGAGACCUGACACUCUUAAACCACUUCAGAAAGGAGCAGCCACAUUUUUACUAUUACCGUUAUAUUAUCAACCCCUGUUUUUCCUCAGCCUUAUUUUCUUCACCAGCUCCAGAGCUGUCUAAAGAGUGCAUUAUUACUACAAAACCUUCCACAGAAGCCCACCCCUGCAGUUUGUCUAGACAGGGACCAAAAAGAAAAAUCCUGUAUCCUGUCAAAAUAUGAAGCUCUUUUGUGAAAUACAGGAAAGAGAUCAAAGUUGGAGUCCUGUACCAAAAGAUCUCUGUAUCUCAAUGUAUCUAGAGAAAAAAAUGAAAACAGUGGUGUGAGAUAAUUUCUAGCACUCAGUUUGUUCUCUCUUGUAAGGGACUCAGAGCAAAUAAUGAUAGUUUAUAGCCUACGUGCACUGUCCAAGAUUAUGACAGAGGCCGUUUGGUUCUCCCACAAUACUAACAGUUCAGAGAUCAAAACCUGCAAGAUAAUUUCCUACUGAAGUUGAUAGGAAUUUUGCCAAGUUACUGCCUUGAAUUGAAAUGGUGUGUGUGACAGGGCUGUGGAGUGGCACUCUGAGGAUAUUUAGGCAUGGCAGAUACUCAUUAUGCACUCAGAAAUAUUUCAUAAUGAAAUGCUAUAAAUUAGAGACAAUUAUAUUUUCUUCUAAGCCAUUUCAAAAAUAAAACCCAUCAAAAAAAUUAUUUAUAAAGCUGUCUUUCCACUCCUUGUCCUUCAAAUGAAUCUGUCAAGUGUUUGUUCCACAGUUUGCAAAUGUUUUAAGCUGACUUUUUUUCCUCCUUUUUAUCUCCUGUUGGACACAUCUAUUUAAUGCAAAUUCUGUGAAUGAGGCUUUGCUGAUUCUGUGAAUGAGGCUUUUCACUUAAAAGCCGUGCUCAUGCUAAUCUGCAUAUUGCUCAGAAAACCUAUGUGUAAGGAGACAGUUUGGCCUCAUAUUUAUUCUGAGAUCUGCUUGAAAGAUGGAGUUUUUCUGAAUCUUAUUGUUGGAGACAGCUAUCUUGCUGGAAGGUGACAUUGCCUGUGACACAGGCAGAUAAGGAGCCUCACUGCAAGGAAAAGUUGCCAUUCUGCUUUAUAAUGAUUUAACUCCAAUGAAAAAACAUGACUCAUGUGAUUUACAAGCUGCUGUGUAAAACACUGUGGGACUUUUUCCACUGGGCUCCACCAGUGAUUCCAAUGGCUCUAUGGAUGCAAGACGAGCUCUGCUAUGCAUCACUCCUUCAGACGUCUGCACUAGCUGAGAUGAAUAAGUCAUAUAGCAUGGGAAAAUAAUCAGAAUAUGCUGUUAAUAGCUUGCUAAUCCUUCCCUCAGUGCAUAUCUUUAGCUCCUCUCUUUGCAUGAGUUUUAGGACAGGAAAUUUAUGCUGUUGUCCAUAGCUAGCAAAUAUGCUACAAGGGUCUGUAAUGGUGAGAAAGGCUGCCUUGAGGAAGAGAAAUGAAAUAUAAAAUACACAGAAGUUCCCCACUUUAAAUAGAGUGAAGUAGUAUUUACUCCCAUUAGGAAAUUGUGGGUGCCAGAGGUUUAUAUUAUGUAAUGAGGAAAAGCUUAAUAUGAACCACUUGUCAGUAGCUGAAGUUAUACUGGUAUUUCAGUGCCUCUCAGGUAGAGAGGCUGAGAUAAACACUGAUUAUGAGGAUUGGCAAAAUGUUGACUGAGUGAAAUGUAAUGAGAUUUGAUGCCCAAGUGAUCAGAGUAGUUGAUAAAAUGGUUUCUCCCGAUUUCUCCUCUGCUGUGAGAAUGUGCAGACUAUUGCUCAGGCCUCUGGUAGCAGGGUAUCAGCACCUGGCUGUUGAAAAUUAAUAUAUCUGGUUCAUAAUUGUGGUUUGUUUCUGUUUGUUUGUUUGGUUUUUUGUUUUUGUUUGUUGUUUUUUAAAGAUAAUUAGACUUCUGAGAUAAUUAAUUGUUAGUUUCUGAAAAGUCUACCUGUAAAAAUUCCAAAUAAGCCAAGGAAAUUUAGAUUUAAACGUUCUCUAAGUAUUAAUCACAUAACUCAUAGUAAUUGGUCUAAGCUAUAAGCUCUGAAAAUUUUGAAACUUCCAUAUCCAUAUAAGCAGAUACCUUUGAUAGCAACAGAUACCAUGAAAGAGACAAAUUUUUCUACAGUUUCCUCCCUAUGAGAAUUUCUCCCUUUUUUUUUUUUUUUUUUUUUUUUUUUUUUUUUUUUCCUGUUUUCAGCCUUAUAUAUAUGUUUUCUGGAUACGGAUCAUUGCUGAAUACUGAAUAAUCAGAAAGAUGUUGGUGUUUAUUUUCAAUACAAUGGAGUUGCAGGACUCCAUUGAUAAUCAUGAUAGCAAAAAAGGAUAUACUUUCUUAGACAGGAAAUCUCAACACAGAACAAAAACAAGUACAGAGUCUGCUUCAUAUUUCACCCAAAAGUGGAUGUCUCAAGUAGACACAGCUAGUAGAUGAUGUUGGAAACAUUCUGUGUCUUGCUUUGUUUUUAAAUAAAUAAUGUUGUCUUACCUGAAGAAUGACGAUUGAAGCUAAAGAUCCUUAGUAAUGUGCACAGCAUAAAUCUCAUGUAUUGAUAUUGCAUUCUGUUUAGAAAAUACCAUCCAUACAGAAGAGCGAUGCUGUUGCUAUUCUUUUUCUGAGAGGCAUGACAGCACAUUAGUUUAGUAUAAAAUAUAUACUUAAAUUUAAGCACUUUCAUCUAAAAUUUUACCUAAUUCUUUAAGGAAUGUAAAUGAUCACUGCAUCAUUCUGAAAGGAAACUAUUCACAUAAUGUUCUACAAGGGAAACUUCCAGAAAUUAUGAACUGGAAAUGAUAUCACUGAAUCAACUUCAGUGUAUUUAUUAAGAAUUUCAGAUGAGGUAUAGUGUUUUUACCUUCAUCAACCACUAUGAAAUUACUAUAGAAAAGAGUGGCAAAGAUCAUUAAAGCUUGGAGGAAGAAGCUAAAAUUGACUGCCAAGUACAGCAGUAGCUUCCUAUUCUACUGUUAGCAGUACAGAUAUAUUCAGCUGACUUUCCUCUAGGAUGUAUUCAUGAAGAUUUUGUGUAUCUUAGAAAAGUCACUCUUUUGUAUAGAAUUCAGAACAUCGUGUCCUGAAACUAAGUAAUGCAAAACCAUUGACGGGGUAUUUCCUUAACUCCAGUGGCAUUUUCUUAAAUUAUAGGUAAAAGUGGAACAUGAAUAGAAGCAAUAUAAUUGUAGCUGAUUUUAUACUUGAUUUAAAAGAAAAAAAAAAGAAGAAACUAUUUACAAAGAGCUGUGAGAAAAACAAGGACUUCAAUUCUUUGUAUUAGCAUAAAGAUACAGGUUUCUGUCGGAACACUCCAUUCUGCAUUCAUGUCAUUUAUUCACAUGAAUGCAAAAUUUCCAUCUCCAUCUCUCUUGCUGCAAUGCAAUAGACUUCAGACAACUCUGCUAGAAAGAGAAGGGUUGCCCUGAAACAGGAUAGCCUUGCAAGUCUUACACAUGACUUCGUGGGGAAUCAAAAGGAGUCUGAACUGAAAACUUUGUAGUUGGGCUCAAUUUAUCCAUGAAAACAUUGAGUCAGUGAUCAAUAGCUUCCCAGAGAGUUAAUAAAGUAUUAGGAUUUUUUGGUUAAAAAAAAAAAAAUAUAUAUAUAUAUAUAUAUAAAACAAAGAAAAAAAAUAUAAUUCUGCCAUUGCAUAAAUUCACAGUUCUCUCCUAUCAUUAAUAAUGUAGGCAGCUCUAGACUUCUCUAAAAAGAUAUGGAAGUUCUAGACACAUUUUUUGAAAGAAGCAGCAACCAUGAUCAGAGGAAGCAAACAUUUUCCAUAGGAGAAACAAUAGAGUUGUUUGGGAAGAGAAGGAUUACCAAUGCGAGGAGGUCAUGUCAGAGGUCUACAUAAUUAUGACAGUCACGGAGAAUAAAGAUAGAGAUAAACUGGGACCAUGAAAAAUAUCUGUCAAGAAGCAGAUUCAAAACAACAAUGAAAAAGGAGCUUAUACAUGCAACAGGUAGCAGCUCUACCAAUGGAUGUGUGGACAAGAAAGUUAUAGGGCAUCUCAGGCAGUCUGGAUUGCAGGUAACCAGAGAGAUAAAGUAAAGAAGGUUCAGGGAAACCCUAGUCUGGAGAAGGCCAGAGUAUGAACAAUGAUUAAUCACAGGGUGUUUGACUACAGGCAAAAAUUAUCCCCAGUGACCUAGGAUAAUCGUUACUUUUCCACCAGCCAUGUGUGGACAAUGCUGAAGUGGCAUAGUGUUUCUAAAGACAAAAAGGUGAUGAUUAGUUUUUCUAUUAUUUAAGUAAUUUUGUCUUUUAGAGCAAAGGAGUCUGCAAGAGCCCCAAGGACUGGUGUGUCUGCUAUAUAUUUGGACUUCUGAAAAUUUAAUCAGUGUAAUCUAAUCCCCCUGAUCUGUUACAACAGGGACGCUUAAUUUAUUUUUACUUUGGCCCCCAGUGCUCAGAGAAAUAUUGUUUCUUGGAAGCUCACUUUCAUAAUUAUGUUUGAUCCCUUUGUCUGAGGCAACUGAAUGUACUGAGGAGAAAAAUCUGUGGAAAUCACUGAUGCUGCCAAUUAAAAGUGAUUAUUGAACUGAAGGUAAAGUUCUUUUGCAAUGGGAAAAAAUAGAGAAAAACUGUGAUGAGCCAGCACACUGCACAAAAAAAAGCAGUGUCCUAUAUUGUACUAAUACCAGUACAAGUUUUCCUCACCAAAUUUUCUAGUGUAUUGCUUUUUUCCAUCCUUGAAAUAAUCUUUGAGAUAUAAGAGAGACUAUAGGUUUUGUGAUUCCAUCUGAAGGAUACCAUAAUAAGAAUGAUCACAUUUCUCUUGAUUACAGUAAAAUGUUUAUCUGUCAUUCUUCUCUUGAUUACAGUAAUAUGUUUAUCUGUCAUUCAUCUCCGAAAUAUCAGUUUUCAGUUUAAAGAAAUCAAAAUUAAAUAAAAACUUCUAUGGUGCAUUACAAUUAGAUGUGAAUCUAACCUGGUAUAUGUCCUUGUUUACAGCCUUUCCUUCAAAGUCUACCAGGAACAGCCAUUUUGGAUUCUAUUUUCAUAAAUAAAUUGCAUGCUUAAUCACCCUAGUUACUUCAGGUUACUAAGAAAACUGAUUUAAGUUUGCAACUACUGACUGGUAACUACUCAUAUAUACCCAGUUACACUACUGAACUGCAUUUUGUUUCUGUGGUUAGUCCUAAUAACAAUGCCAGAAGAUCACAAGCAAGUCCUGUUCUUAAAAUAAACUCAUUUUACAUAAUGAUCUUUUGAGUAUGUCUUUUAUGCAUAAUUGCCCAUUUCUGUUUUCCUUUUUAUGCAUCAAUUAAUUUCACAGUGGUGCCAUUUGUGUACCACAUUUAUCCCAGCAUCAGGUUAAGCUCCUUUUGCUGUUAACUCUUCUCAUGAAAGGUACUUCAUAUUAUACUUGCACCUAUUCUUACAUUUAGAGUCAAGGAAGGAACAUGAGUGGUAGCAACUGACAAGGAGAGGGAAACUGAGACCAGUGGGAGUCUGAAUAAACGUGGGAUCCACCCCCUCUUCCAACUGUCCUAAGGGUGGUGGCCAUGGGCUCCUUUGCCAGCAGCUUCCCUUAAAGUACACGCUGUUUGUGGGAAAGCUAUCUGUUUAAUUCUGAACAAAGAACAAGCUUUUUUUCCUUUUAGGAAAAAAAAAAAAAAAAAAAAAGAUUACUCAGGUAAAUCUAUUGCAUGUAUUUUGUGACCUGCUUCCAUUAGCUCUGCAUAACGGUGUGAUACUCCACGGCCUCUUCAUGGAUCUCCUUCAUUUUAAUGCUUUGGCUUUGUAAUUUAGCUAUAGUUGAACUAAAAACUCAGCUAAUAGAACUUCUUUAUUAAUGUGAGAUCCUAUAUUUUUCAUCAAAUCAAUCUGAGAUUUUACAUCUUCAGUAGGAGACAAAUUUGGGCCACAAACACUUGUACUAAAGAAUUCAUUACAUCAUAUGAAGAACUGGUACAAAAGAAACUGAUGCAGAGAAGUGGAAGCUAGAAAGAAGAUUCUUGGCAGUACCCAUAAAUGAUGGCAUUCACUCCAUUACAGAAGCCGGUACUCAAAAUGCAAAAGUACCACCGUUUGUCUCAAUAGCUGGACUGGAACCAGGGAUAUAUGAACACCCCUAUGGAAGUUGAAACCUCAUUAUGAGCAACCUCUGAAUGUGCCCUUCUGACACAGACUGCUAUUUUGCUGCUGAUGCUCUUGACAGGAACGGGGGAAAAGAGGAGGGAGGACAGUCCCCUCUGCAAACCUACAGCUCCCUCGUGCCAGCUGCAGCCAGCUGUUGAGAUCAUGCUGCCAAAGUACAAUAUUUUGAAUUCUUCAGGCAAGUCUGCUUCUUGAACAGCCACAUUUCAUCUUCUCUACAGCAAGGCAAUCAGACAGACCAUGCUGGCUCUUUUUCUAGCAUCUUAAAUCUCUUCUAAGUCAGACAAAGAGGGCAUUGGUUGUUUUGGGAGAUAUAUGUAUGAAACUGAAUUUCAUUACAAGUUGUCUUUUUCUUUUUUUUAUUUCUAAUAAUCUUUAUUUGAAUUACUGUUGAUAUUUCAUACAAAUUAUCUGAACAUUAGUAUUAUAGCCAGUCUGGCUGUGUAGCCUCUUGCUGUAUUUGUUCUUAUUUUAAUACUAAAGAGUAAAGAUGUUUUCUAAAAAAUGUAUCUAAAUAUUUUAUUUGGAAAAUUAUUAAAAUCUUCACAAAAACACA